UGGGGAAUUUUGGACAAUGGGGGAAACCCUGAUCCAGCCAUCCCGCGUGUGCGAUGAAGGCCUUCGGGUUGUAAAGCACUUUUGGCGGGAAAGAAACGUCAUGGGUUAAUACCCCGUGAAACUGACGGUACCUGCAGAAUAAGCACCGGCUAACUACGUGCCAGCAGCCGCGGUAAUACGUAGGGUGCAAGCGUUAAUCGGAAUUACUGGGCGUAAAGCGUGCGCAGGCGGUUCGGAAAGAAAGAUGUGAAAUCCCAGAGCUCAACUUUGGAACUGCAUUUUUAACUACCGGGCUAGAGUGUGUCAGAGGGAGGUGGAAUUCCGCGUGUAGCAGUGAAAUGCGUAGAUAUGCGGAGGAACACCGAUGGCGAAGGCAGCCUCCUGGGAUAACACUGACGCUCAUGCACGAAAGCGUGGGGAGCAAACAGG
rnacentral:rRNA from 1 species